CUUUUCCUUCGUUCUUUUUUUUCACGCUGCGCUCCCCCUUCUUUCUUCUUCCUUAGUUCGUGACCUUCAAUGGAGAAAGGGCAAGAGAGAACUUGAUGAGUUAGUCACCACUUCAUCUAGACUGCAACAUAGAAAAGCAGCGCCUGCACUUGGAAAAGGGGGAGGAAAUGGAUUGAUUUCAUAGUUCUAAGCUUAGUGAAAACCAAGGGGUGUGAAUCCAAGGGAUUCGAAUCAAGUGAGGCGGACUAUGCGUGGAUAGCUAAUUGCACAAACUUCUUGGAUAACAAGUUGUAGAGACGGAAAGCGUUCAGGUAUCGCAACAGUUGACGAUGGUUCUCGGGGCAAGAGGCCCGUGGUUGAGGAGUAGAUCUGAGCAUGGAUGUUGCCUACUUAUUUUGGGAGUCUGUUGUAUUUAUAUUUACACUAUGAUGUAUUAUGUUUAUGUAGGUUGAUGUAGGAUGUUGUAGUUAUGACACAUAGCCACCUUUUAAUGUGAUAUAUAUGGAGUUAUGGAUCAUGCAUGUAUAUUACUGUAUAUGAUAUGGAAUUGUUGUAUAUUGUGGGUUGUAAGAGCCCCAAGGCAUUGUUGGUCCUUGUGUGUGCCACCCACUGAUUAUUAGGUACCAUUUGAGGUCAUAG